AGAACGAACGCUGGCGGCAUGCCUAAUACAUGCAAGUCGAACGAGAUCUUCGGGUCUAGUGGCGCACGGGUGCGUAACGCGUGGGAAUCUACCCUUGGGUUCGGAAUAACAGUUGGAAACGACUGCUAAUACCGGAUGAUGACGAAAGUCCAAAGAUUUAUCGCCCAAGGAUGAGCCCGCGUAGGAUUAGCUAGUUGGUGAGGUAAAGGCUCACCAAGGCUACGAUCCUUAGCUGGUCUGAGAGGAUGAUCAGCCACACUGGGACUGAGACACGGCCCAGACUCCUACGGGAGGCAGCAGUAGGGAAUAUUGGACAAUGGGGGCAACCCUGAUCCAGCAAUGCCGCGUGAGUGAUGAAGGCCUUAGGUUGUAAAGCUCUUUUACCCGAGAUGAUAAUGACAGUAUCGGAGAAUAAGCUACCGGCUAACUCCGCGCCAGCAGCCGC
rnacentral:rRNA from 1 species